GACGAACGCUGGCGGCGUGCUUAACACAUGCAAGUCGAACGAUGAAGCCUAGCUUGCUAGGUGGAUUAGUGGCGAACGGGUGAGUAAUACGUGAGUAACCUACCUUUAACUCUGGGAUAAGCCCGGGAAACUGGGUCUAAUACCGGAUACGACCAAUCUCCGCAUGGGGUGUUGGUGGAAAGCGUUAUGUAGUGGUUAUAGAUGGGCUCACGGCCUAUCAGCUUGUUGGUGAGGUAACGGCUCACCAAGGCGACGACGGGUAGCCGGCCUGAGAGGGUGACCGGCCACACUGGGACUGAGACACGGCCCAGACUCCUACGGGAGGCAGCAGUGGGGAAUAUUGCACAAUGGGCGCAAGCCUGAUGCAGCGACGCCGCGUGAGGGAUGACGGCCUUCGGGUUGUAAACCUCUGUUAGCAGGGAAGAAGAGAGAUUGACGGUACGUGCAGAGAAAGCGCCGGCUAACUACGUG
rnacentral:rRNA from 1 species